rnacentral:rRNA from 1 species
GACGAACGCUGGCGGCGUGCUUAACACAUGCCAGUCGAACGGAAAGGCCCUGCUUUUGUGGGGUGCUCGAGUGGCGAACGGGUGAGUAACACGUGAGUAACCUGCCCUUGACUUUGGGAUAACUUCAGGAAACUGGGGCUAAUACCGGAUAGGAGCUCCUGCCGCAUGGUGGGGGUUGGAAAGUUUCGGCGGUUGGGGAUGGACUCGCGGCUUAUCAGCUUGUUGGUGGGGUAGUGGCUUACCAAGGCUUUGACGGGUAGCCGGCCUGAGAGGGUGACCGGCCACAUUGGGACUGAGAUACGGCCCAGACGCCUACGGGAGGCAGCAGUGGGGAAUAUUGCACAAUGGGCGGAAGCCUGAUGCAGCAACGCCGCGUGCGGGAUGACGGCCUUCGGGUUGUAAACCGCUUUCGCCUGUGACGAAGCGUGAGUGACGGUAAUGGGUAAAGAAGCACCGGCUAACUACGU